UUUUUUACACGUGCAUAGUGAUGUUAGGUUGCAGGCUGUGACAAAGCAUGGAGGAAAUUCCAUUUUCCCUGUGGGAGCCCACGGGUGCCCGCUCACAGAAGCGAGCUGCUGCAGUUUGCAAGAAGAAACGUUCCCAAGAUUUUUAUCGCUGAAAUGAUCCAGUCGAUGCAGUCCUGGUUAACAGAUGACUCCAGGCUAUCUGAUACGUCUCUGCAGCCAAACAGCAUCGUUGCAGGCCACUCGGCUGAAAAGAUAAGAUCUCAGCUUGAGCUCUACAGUGGCUACUAUAACAUCUGAGAUUUACAAAGGAGCACGAUGACGCUGAAUACAGCUGGACCAGCGCUGAGUAUACUGUCCUUAUUCUUAAAUGUCCAAUGGAGUUGGAGUAUCAAGAAACCAUUAAUUUGUUUUAGAGAUGUGUUUAGGGAUUCACUCUGUAUUUUAACAAUGUUUUGACUGCUAGUAAUACUCCAACUUCUUGAGCUUGUUGCUAUUUCUUACCUUUGUUUAUGACCUCGUAUGUUUGUUCCCAUAGUUGUUCAAAAAAUAUUAUUAUUUUAUUUUAUUUACUCAUUUAUUUUUUCUUCUCCCAUGAUAGUGGGAUGUAAUGGCUCUGGUCAAUCCACAGUCAGAGCAUGUCUCCAACGAUGUUUCAGCAUGUGCAGAGUGUGUGUGUGUGUGACAACAAUGCAACAGUUGGUUUAUAUUCAAUUUACUGCCUUCCUGCUAUACAUUAAGCUUAUUACAUGUUAAUGCUAUGACACGACUGUCAUGUGUGUAUUCUGUCUUUUAUUAUAGAAGCCAAAUAUAUGUCACACCAUUGUGCAUUUGUGCUGUAUAUGGACAGAAAUCAUUACGGUUGAUUGUAAUGCAUUCUGAUUUCAUAGUGAUGUCCCUCAAGUGUAUAUGAAAACAAUCUGUAAGCAUCCCAAAAUGUUAAAUGUACCCUACAUUGUUGUUUCUAAUUAAAGG